rnacentral:snRNA from 1 species
GCGCUUGCUCCGGCAGCACAUAUACUAAAAUGGGAACGAUACAGAGAAGACUAGCAUGGCCCCUGCGCAAGGAUGACACGCAAAUUUGUGAAGGGUUCCAUAGGAAA